AGUUCCACUAAUCAGGAGGUGUAGAAGGAGUCAUAGUACCACUAAUCAGGAGGUCUAGAAGGAGUCAUAGUUCCACUAAUCAGGAGGUGUAGAAGGAGUCAUAGUACCACUAAUCAGGAGGUCUAGAAGGAGUCAUAGUUCCACUAAUCAGGAGGUGUAGAAGGAGUCAUAGUUCCACUAAUCAGGAGGUGUAGAAGGAGUCAUAGUUCCACUAAUCAGGAGGUCUAGAAGGAGUCAUAGUUCCACUAAUCAGGAGGUCUAGAAGGAGUCAUAGUUCCACUAAUCAGGAGGUGUAGAAGGAGUCAUAGUUCCACUAAUCAGGAGGUCUAGAAGGAGUCAUAGUUCCACUAAUCAGGAGGUCUAGAAGGAGUCAUAGUUCCACUAAUCAGGAGGUCUAGAAGGAGUCAUAGUUCCACUAAUCAGGAGGUGUAGAAGGAGUCAUAGUUCCACUAAUCAGGAGGUCUAGAAGGAGUCAUAGUUCCACUAAUCAGGAGGUCUAGAAGGAGUCACAGUUCCACUAAUCAGGAGGUCUAGAAGGAGUCAUAGUUCCACUAAUCAGGAGGUGUAGAAGGAGUCAUAGUUCCACUAAUCAGGAGGUCUAGAAGGAGUCAUAGUGCCACUAAU